UUUAUGACCUCAUCAAGAUGCCUUCACUACUCGUACUUAUUGUCACAGAAAUAAACAGCAACUCCUUCCUUUCUCACUCUCUUUAGACACAAGCAGCCUUGUCCUUCUCUUGAUAGAUGGUUCCCUAUCAAAAUUCACAAGUCAUUUGAGCCAGUUACUAGCAAUUGGUGUUUCUGUUUCUCCUACUAGAGACAAGUUAUUCCACAGCAGAACUCUGCAGUGCUUGGGAGGGAUGUAGUAGCUGUUACCACAGGAGAAAGGAAAGAAGAGGAACUCAAAAGCAUAUUUAGGAUAUGCCAUGAGGAAGACUGUACAGCAGUGCUUGUAAAGAAUUAAAGGGUGAAAUAACAAGAGAACCACAGUGGAGGAAAUGGUGUACAACUUUGUCAAUAUGGAUGAUUUCCUAUCAAACACUGGCUAUAUUUUCUGUCAUGAGUUUUAAAACCCUCUAAUGAAACUUAGUAUGUAACAUGCUUUUCACACUCAGCAACCUGGUUUGGAAUUCUGAUUAGUUAAAUAAAACAUGUUAUUUAGUUGUUUAAUAACUAUUUGUUAAAUGUAUAAUACUAAUCUAUAAAGUACCCUGGGUCAGAGAUUCUCUCUCUCUCUCUCUGUCUCUCUCUCUCUGUCUCUCUCUCUCUGUCUCUCUCUCUCUGUCUCUCUGUCUCUCUCUCUCUCUCUCUCUCUCUCUCUCUGUCUCUCUCUCUCUCUCUGUCUGGAAUCCAAAAGAGAUAUCUGUGCCCAGUAUAAAAUAGGUGUUCUGUAUUCAUUAUUACCUGAAUGGAUGAUAUAAAUAAUGUCUUACUAUUCAUAGAUGCUAUUUAGAUAUUUUUAGCUAUUUCUACAGGAAAGAACUCAUGGUAUAAACAUGGGCAUUUAUCCGGGUGGCUCUAAAUAUUGAAUCAUCAAAACAGAAGGAAACAGAAAAUCUGAAGGUCUGCAAUGUGGUUGAACAAGACGGCAGCCAGCCAGUCAACUCCCAGCUUUAUAUCUCUAAAGAACCUUCGUUACAAAAGACAGUAAGGCAAUUUCCUAAAGGCCUCUGUGUUGGAACACACAUGGACAGGCUGCUUUAAGUGCCCAUUAGUCUUCAAAUCUGAAAUAGAAUCCACCCUACACUGAAGAAGAAGGAUAAAAAAGCAUGAACUACCUCAAAUGAAAAACAGCAAAAUACAUCACGGAGUUCAAAUGGCAGAGUUGAGCAAGAUGGUCCCACUUCGUGCUACAUCAAUACAUCUCUAUAAUUUUAUAUGUGAAUGGGGCUCCCGAAUCCAGAAAU